rnacentral:rRNA from 1 species
AGGCGAUUAGUUUAAGAGAUUAAUUGAUUGACGAUAAUCACAGAAGAAGCACCGGCUAACUCCGUGCCAGCAGCCGCGGUAAUACGGAGGGUGCGAGCGUUAAUCGGAAUGACUGGGCGUAAAGGGCACGCAGGUGGUGACUUAAGUGAGGUGUGAAAUCCCCGGGCUUAACCUGGGAACAGCAUUUCAGACUGGGUGACUAGAGUACUUUAGGGAGGGGUAGAAUUCCACGUGUAGCGGUGAAAUGCGUAGAGAUGUGGAGGAAUACCGAAGGCGAAGGCAGCCCCUUGGGAAGAUACUGACGCUCGAGUGCGAAAGCGUGGGGAGCAAACAGGAUUAGAUACCCUGGUAGUCCACGCUGUAAACGAUGUCGAUUUGGGGAUUGGGUGAACACUUGGUGCCCGA